GGGGCGUUAGCUCAGCUGGUUAGAGCAGAGGACUCAUAAUCCUUUGGUCGUUGGUUCAAGUCCAACACGCCCUACCA
rnacentral:tRNA from 1 species